rnacentral:rRNA from 1 species
AGCUCCAAUAGCGUAUAUUAAAGUUGUUGCGGUUAAAAAGCUCGUAGUUGGAUCUCGGCGAGUAGGGGGCGGUUCAUUAUCUGAUGUUACUGCCCCAUUUACUCGUGUUUUUGACAGCCGGUUGGUGGUCCCCUUAAAUGGGUGUCGCCAGUCACUGUCAGGUUUACUUUGAAAAAAUUAGAGUGCUCAAAGCAGGCUUAUAACGCUUGAAUAUUCGUGCAUGGAAUAAUAGAAUAGGAAGUCGUUUCUAUUUUGUUGGUUUUCGGAAAAUGACUUAAUGAUUAAUAGGGACAAUCGGGGGCAUUAGUAUUCAAACGACAGAGGUGAAAUUCUUGGACCGUUUGAAGACUAACUACUGCGAAAGCAUUUGCCAAGAGUGUUUUCA